AGAGUUUGAUCCUGGCUCAGAACGAACGCUGGCGGCGUGGAUAAGACAUGCAAGUCGAGCGCUGAUCAAAGUGUAGCAAUACAUUUUGGUCGGAGCGGCGCAAGGGUGCGUAACACGUAGGUAAUUUGCCAUAAAGUUGGGGAUAACUCGCUGAAAGGCGAGCUAAUACCGAAUGUGGCCCGGAGAAGGCAUCUUUUCUUGGCUAAAGUUGGGGAUCGUAAGACCUGACGCUUUAUGAUAAACCUGCGGCCUAUCAGCUAGUUGGCGGGGUAACGGCCCACCAAGGCGAUGACGGGUAGCUGGUCUGAGAGGACGACCAGCCACACUGGAACUGAGACACGGUCCAGACACCUACGGGUGGCAGCAGUCGAGAAUUUUUCACAAUGGGGGAAACCCUGAUGGAGCGACGCCGCGUGGGGGAUGAAUGGCUUCGGCCCGUAAACCCCUGUCAUUUGCGAAUAAACCUUAUUAUUUAAAAGAUGAUGAGUUGACAGUAGCGAAAGAGGAAGGGACGGCUAACUCUGUGCCAGCAGCCGCGGUAAUACAGAGGUCCCAAGCGUUGUUCGGAUUCACUGGGCGUAAAGGGUGCGUAGGUGGUCGGGUAAGUCUGAUGUGAAAUCUCGGAGCUCAACUCCGAAACUGCAUUGGAUACUAUCCGGCUGGAGGGUCGGAGGGGGGACUGGAAUUCUCGGUGUAGCAGUGAAAUGCGUAGAUAUCGAGAGGAACACCAGUGGCGAAGGCGAGUCCCUGGACGACUCCUGACACUGAGGCACGAAAGCUAGGGGAGCAAACAGGAUUAGAUACCCUAGUAGUCC
rnacentral:rRNA from 1 species